AGUGAACGCUGGCGGUAGGCCUAACACAUGCAAGUCGAACGGCAGCACAGUAAGAGCUUGCUCUUACGGGUGGCGAGUGGCGGACGGGUGAGGAAUACAUCGGAAUCUACUUUUUCGUGGGGGAUAACGUAGGGAAACUUACGCUAAUACCGCAUACGACCUACGGGUGAAAGCAGGGGAUCUUCGGACCUUGCGCGAUUGAAUGAGCCGAUGUCGGAUUAGCUAGUUGGCGGGGUAAAGGCCCACCAAGGCGACGAUCCGUAGCUGGUCUGAGAGGAUGAUCAGCCACACGGGAACUGAGACACGGUCCAGACUCCUACGGGAGGCAGCAGUGGGGAAUAUUGGACAAUGGGCGCAAGCCUGAUCCAGCCAUACCGCGUGGGUGAAGAAGGCCUUCGGGUUGUAAAGCCCUUUUGUUGGGAAAGAAAAGCAGCAGGUUAAUACCCCGCUGUUCUGACGGUACCCAAAGAAUAAGCACCGGCUAACUCCGUG
rnacentral:rRNA from 1 species